rnacentral:rRNA from 1 species
AUUGAACGCUGGCGGCAUGCCUUACACAUGCAAGUCGAACGGCAGCACGGGAGCAAUCCUGGUGGCGAGUGGCGAACGGGUGAGUAAUAUAUCGGAACGUGCCCAGUCGUGGGGGAUAACGCAGCGAAAGCUGUGCUAAUACCGCAUACGAUCUACGGAUGAAAGCGGGGGACCGUAAGGCCUCGCGCGAUUGGAGCGGCCGAUAUCAGAUUAGGUAGUUGGUGAGGUAAUGGCUCACCAAGGCGACGAUCCGUAACUGGUCUGAGAGGAUGAUCAGUCACACUGGAACUGAGACACGGUCCAGACUCCUACGGGAGGCAGCAGUGGGGAAUUUUGGACAAUGGACGCAAGUCUGAUCCGGCCAUUCCGCGUGCAGGAUGAAGGCCUUCGGUUGUAAACUGCUUUGUACGGAACGAAAAGACUCUGGUUAAUACCUGGGUCCGAUGACGGUACCGUAAGAAUAAGCACCGGCUAACUACGUGCCAGCA